rnacentral:rRNA from 1 species
AUACGGAGGGGGUUAGCGUUGUUCGGAAUUACUGGGCGUAAAGCGCACGUAGGCGGAUUGGAAAGUUGGGGGUGAAAUCCCGGGGCUCAACCCCGGAACUGCCUCCAAAACUUCCAAUCUAGAGAUCGAGAGAGGUGAGUGGAAUUCCAAGUGUGGAGGUGAAAUUCGUAGAUAGUUGGAGGAACACCAGUGGCGAAGGCGGCUCACUGGCUCGAUACUGACGCUGAGGUACGAAAGCGUGGGGAGCAAACAGGAUUAGAAACCCGGGUAGUCC